rnacentral:rRNA from 1 species
AGAGUUUGAUCCUGGCUCAGAACGAACGCUGGCGGCGCGUUUUAAGCAUGCAAGUCGAGCGGCAAGGGCCUUCGGGCCCCUAGAGCGGCGGACGGGUGAGUAACACGUGGACAAUCUGCCCCCCGGUCCGGGAUAGCCUUGGGAAACCUGGGAUAAUACCGGAUACGAGCGGGGCCCCGCAGGGGGCCCCGGGGAAAGGCGCUUCGGCGCCGCCGGGGGAUGAGUCCGCGGCCCAUUAGCUAGACGGCGGGGUAAAGGCCCACCGUGGCGACGAUGGGUAGCCGGCCUGAGAGGGUGAUCGGCCACAUUGGAACUGAGACACGGUCCAGACUCCUACGGGAGGCAGCAGCUAAGGAUCUUCCGCAAUGGGCGAAAGCCUGACGGAGCGACGCCGCGUGAACGAUGAAGGCCGUGAGGUUGUAAAGUUCUUUUCGGGAGGGGGAAUAACCGUGGCAGGUAAUGGCCGCGGGAUGACGUGAAUCCCGGAAUAAGCCCCGGCUAACUACGUGCCAGCAGCCGCGGUAACACGUAGGGGGCGAGCGUUGUUCGGAAUCAUUGGGCGUAAAGGGCGUGCAGGCGGCCCUGCCAGUCUGGCGUGAAAGGCCCCGGCUCAACCGGGGAGACGCGCUGGAAACUGCAGGGCUUGAAUACAGGAGGGGAUGCCGGAAUUCCAGGUGUAGGGGUGAAAUCUGUAGAUAUCUGGAAGAACACCAAUGGCGAAGGCAGGCAUCUGGCCAUG